rnacentral:lncRNA from 1 species
UGCCAAGAAAAAAUAAAUAGGGAGCAUAUCAACAAAAGAAUAUAAAGAGAAAAGUGUUUUUCUUUUUUCUAUCAAAAAUGAAUGAACUAAGAACUCACAUAGCUACAAAUACAAAAUUAUGGCUAUAAAUAAAGGUAAUGGCCGUGAAAGAAGCUUUGGCAUAUUCGAGCAACCGAGCUAGCCUGUGUUUGGAUUCGCGUUGGUAUGAAGCUAGCAAAAGGAGCUCCGUGUCAAUGCACGGUGGGAAGACAAUCUACAGCAGAAGCAAAAACGGUCUUAGUGAGUGCUGCGCCAUUUUCUAAUGCGUCUCUUGAAUGGAUCAACCCAAUUUUUGUCCUUGGCAAUAGCUUGAUUCCAGCGUUCUUUAAAGACUUCAAGUUCCCAUGUUGAUUGUCUUCGUAUCUACUCAAUCCACGUUAGUAAAGUAAACGUGUCAUUUACUUGUUAUUGAUCAUGCUCACACAUCAAUGAAAUGAAAUAACGGAUUUCCAGAAUAGCUCAAAAGCCUUACCUCAGAUCGAACAUCAACUGUUGCUCCACCUUGUUUCUGCUAUCAACCCAAUUAGAAAGGGAAAAAAAGUGAAAUUUAGGAGCACUGGGAUAGUAAAUGAAUGAAAUAGGAUUAUAGAUAUAAGUACUAUCUAAACGUCAUGUAACUAAAAACUUUACCGUAGUUGUCUUUUUAAGUUUUGAAACCUGCAAAAAAUCAGGAAAGUUACUGUUACAAGAAGUGGAAGAUCCAUAACAAACUAUUUAAAAUGGUAGAAAUACCCUUUCAAGUUAGCCCACCGAUGCAAUCAAUAUUCUUAGUUUGCAGUGACACAGUACAAGUUAACGAAGCUAAUAUACGGAGAGGAGGAAAAUACCUUGGUUGCACCAUGAUCGCUCCCACCCAGAGUCUGUAUCCCUUUAUGAACAACAUAUUGACUAUCAACAACUCCCACUUUUUUAGUUCGAUCGCCCUGAAAAACGACAUUGAUCUCACUAACGAUGCUUAAACAUGAGGGUGAAACAGCAGUAAGUCCAAGUCCAGCUGGUAUAUACGUGAUGCAUCUCAAGUUGACAUACUAUGAUUUCUCUUUAAAAAAGAAUAUUCAAUAACUAUCUCUUGUUAAAUGCAGUAGUAAUUCUGGAGAAAAUGCAUAUUUCUCACCUGUGCACAAUAUCCUAGUUUCAUAUCCAUUCCCCAUCCAUGGACAAGGUCAUUCUGGAGAAAACACAGAAUCAUGUGUUACAAAUAUCGAAUGCCAACUACCAAGAAUAAGGGCUAUUUUGAUCUAUCAAUAACCCAUAGAAAAAAUUGUCCAAAAAUUACAAAAGAGACAAG